rnacentral:rRNA from 1 species
CAYGCGCUGCUAAUGACAAGUUCGAACGCGGUUAUUCAGCAAUGGAUAACUGAGUGGCRAACGGGUGAGUAACACGUGGGUGACCUACCUUCGAGUGGGGGAUAACGUCCCGAAAGGGACGCUAAUACCGCAUAACAUCCUGCCUUUGAACAGGUGGAGAUCAAAGCCGGGGAUCGCAAGACCUGGCGCUUGAUGAGGGGCCCGCGYCUGAUUAGCUAGUUGGUGRGGUAAUGGCUCACCAAGGCGACGAUCAGUAUCCGGCCUGAGAGGGCGGACGGACACACUGGGACUGAGACACGGCCCAGACUCCUACGGGAGGCAGCAGUGGGGAAUUGUUCRCAAUGGGCGCAAGCCUGAYGACGCAACGCCGCGUGGAGGAUGAAGGUCUUCGGAUUGUAAACUCCUGUUGCUCGGRACGAAMAGCUUCGACCUAAYACGUCGAAGUCUGACGGUACCGRGUGAGGAAGCCCCGGCUAACUCUGUGCCAGCAGCCGCGGUAAUACAGGAGGGGGCAAG